UACAGAGGGUGCAAGCGUUACUCGGAAUUACUGGGCGUAAAGCGUGCGUAGACGGUUACAUAAGUCAGAUGUGAAAGCCCCGGGCUCAACCUGGGAAUUGCAUUUGAGACUGUGUAGCUAGGGUGCGGAAGAGGGAAGCGGAAUUUCCGGUGUAGCGGUGAAAUGCGUAGAUAUCGGAAGGAACACCAGUGGCGAAAGCGGCUUCCUGGUCCAGCACCGACGUUCAGGCACGAAAGCGUGGGGAGCAAACAGG
rnacentral:rRNA from 1 species